UACGAAGGGGGCUAGCGUUGCUCGGAAUUACUGGGCGUAAAGCGCACGUAGGCGGCUCUUUAAGUCGGAGGUGAAAUCCUGGAGCUCAACUCCAGAACUGCCUUCGAUACUGUAGAGCUUGAGUUCGGGAGAGGUGAGUGGAACUGCGAGUGUAGAGGUGAAAUGCAUAGAUAUUAUCAAGAACACCGAUUGCGAAGGCAGCUUACUAAGGAGUUACUGACACUGAGACACGAAAGCGUGGGGAUCAAACAGG
rnacentral:rRNA from 1 species